GACGAACGCUGGCGGCGUGCUUAACACAUGCAAGUCGAACGCUGAAGCUCAGCUUUUGUUGGGUGGAUGAGUGGCGAACGGGUGAGUAACACGUGAGUAACCUGCCCCCUUCUUUGGGAUAACGCCCGGAAACGGGUGCUAAUACUGGAUAUUCACUGGUCUUCGCAUGGGGGUUGGUGGAAAGGGUUUUUCUGGUGGGGGAUGGGCUCGCGGCCUAUCAGCUUGUUGGUGGGGUGAUGGCCUACCAAGGCUUUGACGGGUAGCCGGCCUGAGAGGGUGACCGGUCACAUUGGGACUGAGAUACGGCCCAGACUCCUACGGGAGGCAGCAGUGGGGAAUAUUGCACAAUGGGCGCAAGCCUGAUGCAGCGACGCCGCGUGAGGGAUGGAGGCCUUCGGGUUGUGAACCUCUUUCGCUCAUGGUCAGGCCGCAACAAUGGUUGUGGUGAGGGUAGUGGGUAAAGAAGCGCCGGCUAACUACGUG
rnacentral:rRNA from 1 species